AUUGAACGCUGGCGGCAGGCCUAACACAUGCAAGUCGAACGAGUGGCGGACGGGUGAGUAAUGUCUGGGAAACUGCCCGAUGGAGGGGGAUAACUAUUGGAAACGGUAGCUAAUACCGCAUACCAUCGGAGGUGCCCAGAUGGGAUUAGCUGGUAGGUGGGGUAACGGCGCACCUAGGCGACGAUCCCUAGCUGGUCUGAGAGGAUGACCAGCCACACUGGAACUGAGACACGGUCCAGACUCCUACGGGAGGCAGCAGGGGGGAAUAUUGCACAAUGGUCUCAUGCCUGAUGCAGCCAUGCCGCGUGUAUGAAGAAGGCCUUCGGGUUUUAGAGUACUUUCAGCGAGGAGGCGUUACUCGCAGAAGAAGCACCGGCUAACUCCGUGCCAGCAGCCGCGGUAAUAC
rnacentral:rRNA from 1 species